rnacentral:rRNA from 1 species
CCUACGGGAGGCAGCAGUGAGGAAUAUUGGUCAAUGGACGCAAGUCUGAACCAGCCAUGCCGCGUGCAGGAAGACGGCUCUAUGAGUUGUAAACUGCUUUUGUACGAGGGUAAACCUGAAUACGUGUAUUCAGCUGAAAGUACUGUACGAAUAAGGAUCGGCUAACUCCGUGCCAGCAGCCGCGGUAAUACGGAGGAUCCAAGCGUUAUCCGGAUUUAUUGGGUUUAAAGGGUGCGUAGGCGGUUGGAUAAGUUAGAGGUGAAAUCCCGGGGCUCAACUCGGGCACUGCCUCUGAUAGUGUAGGGGUAGAUGGUAGUUGCGGUAGGCGGAAUGUAUGGUGGAGCGGUGAAAUGCAUAGCGAUCAUACAGCACACCGAUUGGGAAGGCAGCUUACCAAACUACGACUGACGUUGAGGCACGAAGGCGUGGGGAGCAAACAGGCUGAGAGACCCCGGUAGUC